UUUUUCUAUUUCUGUGGUUUUGGGUUAGUAGGGAUUGUACGUGAUAUGGAAAAGGAGGUUAUUUCAACUUUAACGCUAUCUUCUGACUCCAUCAUUUGUCUUUUGCCAUUUGUUUUGUUAUCGAAGGAAUGUGCAUUGAUUUCAAGAGAGAAAGUAAUGCAAUCCAGAUCUUCAAAGGGCUAGGGUUUUUUUUUUCAGAAAGAUAGUUAAUAGCAUACAGGCUUUUCUCAUUUUCCCCUUUAUUGGAAUGAAUAAGAUCAUUAUUGCUUUCUGUAAAAGAGAAGAGGGUCUUAGUAAUCGAGAGAAUCUCGGAAGGAGAAUUAAUGUGCGGUCUCUGAAACAUUAAUCGAGGGAUGCAAAGAGCUAGGAAGAAUAACUCAACCACACAGAACCACUUCAUCCUUUUAUAGUUAACCCCUCUUUAGUUUUCUGUUACUAUGUCAUGC
rnacentral:misc_RNA from 1 species